GAUGAAGAACGCAGCGAAAUGCGAUAAGUAAUGCGAAUUGCAGAAUCCGUGAGUCAUCGAAUCUUUGAACGCACAUUGCGCCCCUUGGUAUUCCGAGGGGCAUGCCUGUUCGAGCGUCAUUACACCACUCAAGCUAUGCUUGGUAUUGGGCGUCGUCCUUAGUUGGGCGCGCCUUAAAGACCUCGGCGAGGCCACUCCGGCUUUAGGCGUAGUAGAAUUUAUUCGAACGUCUGUCAAAGGAGAGGAACUCUGCCGACUGAAACCUUUAUUUUUCUAGGUUGACCUCGGAUCAGGUAGGGAUACCCGCUGAACUUAAGCAUAUCAAUAAGCGGAGGA
rnacentral:misc_RNA from 1 species